AUGAACGCUAGCGGCAGGCCUAACACAUGCAAGUCGAGGGGUAACAUAGAUUGCUUGCAAUCUGAUGACGACCGGCGCACGGGUGCGUAACGCGUAUACAAUCUGCCUUUUGCUGAGGGAUAGCCCAGAGAAAUUUGGAUUAAGACCUCAUGGUAUGUUUUAAUGGCAUCAUUAAGACAUUAAAGGUUACGGCAAAAGAUGAGUAUGCGUCCUAUUAGUUAGUUGGUGUGGUAACGGCACACCAAGACAACGAUAGGUAGGGGCCCUGAGAGGGGGAUCCCCACACUGGUACUGAGACACGGACCAGACUCCUACGGGAGGCAGCAGUGAGGAAUAUUGGACAAUGGGCGAGAGCCUGAUCCAGCCAUGCCGCGUGCAGGAAGACUGCCCUAUGGGUUGUAAACUGCUUUUACAGAGGAAGAACCACCCCCACGUGUGGGGGUUUGACGGUACUCUGCGAAUAAGGAUCGGCUAACUCCGUG
rnacentral:rRNA from 1 species